rnacentral:rRNA from 1 species
GAUGAACGCUGGCGGCGUGCCUAAUACAUGCAAGUCGAGCGAACGGACUAGAAGCUUGCUUCUCUGAUGUUAGCGGCGGACGGGUGAGUAACACGUGGAUAACCUACCUAUAAGACUGGGAUAACUUCGGGAAACCGUAGCUAAUACCGGAUAAUAUUUUGAACCGCAUGGUUCAAAAGUGAAAGACGGCCUUGCUGUCACUUAUAGAUGGAUCCGCGCUGCAUUAGCUAGUUGGUAAGGUAACGGCUUACCAAGGCAACGAUGCAUAGCCGACCUGAGAGGGUGAUCGGCCACACUGGAACUGAGACACGGUCCAGACUCCUACGGGAGGCAGCAGUAGGGAAUCUUACGCAAUGGGCGAAAGCCUGACGGAGCAACGCCGCGUGAGUGAUGAAGGUCUUCGGAUCGUAAAACUCUGUUAUUAGGGAAGAACAUAUGUGUAAGUAACUGUGCACAUCUUGACGGUACCUAAUCAGAAAGCCACGGCUAACUACGUG